GACGAACGCUGGCGGCGUGCUUAACACAUGCAAGUCGAACGGAAAGACCCUGCUUUUGCUGGUCUCUCGAUUGCCGAACGCGUGAGUAACACGUGAGUAACCUGCCCUUGACUUUCUGAUAACUUCUGGAAACUGGGGCGCAUACCGGAUAUGAUCUCCUGCUGCAUGUUGGUGGUUGGAAAGUUUCGGCUUUUGUGUAUGUUCUCGCUGCUUAUCAGCUUGUUGGUGUGGUAGUGGCUUACCCAGGCUUUGACGGGUAGCGGGCCUGAGAGGGUGACAGGCGACAUUGAGACUGAGAGACGGCACAGACACCUACGGGAGGCAGAAGUGGGGAAGAUUGAAGAAUGGGCGGCGGCCUGAUGCAGAAACGCCGCGUGCGGGAUGACGGCGUUAGGGUUGUAAAACGAUUUCGUAUGUGACGAAGCGUGAGUGACGGUAAUGGGUACAGAAGCACAGGCUAAAUACGUGC
rnacentral:rRNA from 1 species